GCUGUUCCUGCCGAUGCUGCUGUUCAUGCCGUCCCCCCAGUGCCUAGCAUCACCGGCAACAAGUUCAGCGCUGUCCGACAAGGUGUCCUGCAGGGACAACCUCCGUCGACCUGUCAUCGAACUUCACUUGUGUGUCUUGUGUCGGGUGAGGGAGAGGGACGAUGUGCAUACGGGGUUGCAGUGCAGAGGCGCCGGUGGUUUCAAGUUGCAGGGCCGGGAGAAAUUUCACGGCAACCAAGAGUAACAAUAUUUUUGGUUACUUGGGAAUACGAUGAUGUUCUGGUGACGUGGAACAUGCUGAGAUUUGGACUUCAAUCCUUGAUUGUGCACAUGUAUGCAUGCUUCACAACCAUGCUGCAAACAGAUUUUCAUUUUCGAAGAAAGGAUUUCCGAAACGAGUAGAAGACUAAUAACUUCUACGACAUCAAAGAUCUCUGAGAUUUUAGAUUGCAGGGCCGCCGCCGUUGCUGAACACAAACGGGGCUCGAAGCAGGCCAAACUCCGAGGUGGACCGGGCAACGGAUCGUGGAGAG